CAGGCUUAACACAUGCAAGUCGAGGGGCAGCAUUUCAGUUUGCUUGCAAACUGGAGAUGGCGACCGGCGCACGGGUGAGUAACACGUAUCCGACCUGCCGAUAACUCGGGGAUAGCCUUUCGAAAGAAAGAUUAAUACCCGAUGGUAUAAUCAGACCGCAUGGUCUUGUUAUUAAAGAAUUUCGGUUAUCGAUGGGGAUGCGUUCCAUUAGGCAGUUGGUGAGGUAACGGCUCACCAAACCUUCGAUGGAUAGGGGUUCUGAGAGGAAGGUCCCCCACAUUGGAACUGAGACACGGUCCAAACUCCUACGGGAGGCAGCAGUGAGGAAUAUUGGUCAAUGGGCGCAGGCCUGAACCAGCCAAGUAGCGUGAAGGAUGACUGCCCUAUGGGUUGUAAACUUCUUUUAUAUGGGAAUAAAGUUUUCCACGUGUGGAAUUUUGUAUGUACCAUAUGAAUAAGGAUCGGCUAACUCCGUGCCAGCAGCCGCGGUAAUACGGAGGAUCCGAGCGUUAUCCGGAUUUAUUGGGUUUAAAGGGAGCGUAGGUGGACAGUUAAGUCAGUUGUGAAAGUUUGCGGCUCAACCGUAAAAUUGCAGUUGAUACUGGCUGUCUUGAGUACAGUAGAGGUGGGCGGAAUUCGUGGUGUAGCGGUGAAAUGCUUAGAUAUCACGAAGAACUCCGAUUGCGAAGGCAGCUCACUGGACUGCAACUGACACUGAUGCUCGAAAGUGUGGGUAUCAAACAGGAUUAGAUACCCUGGUAGUCCACACAGUAAACGAUGAAUACUCGCUGUUUGCGAUAUACAGUAAGCGGCCAAGCGAAAGCAUUAAGUAUUCCACCUGGGGAGUACGCCGGCAACGGUGAAACUCAAAGGAAUUGACGGGGGCCCGCACAAGCGGAGGAACAUGUGGUUUAAUUCGAUGAUACGCGAGGAACCUUACCCGGGCUUAAAUUGCAUUUGAAUAUAUUGGAAACAGUAUAGCCGUAAGGCAAAUGUGAAGGUGCUGCAUGGUUGUCGUCAGCUCGUGCCGUGAGGUGUCGGCUUAAGUGCCAUAACGAGCGCAACCCUUAUCUUUAGUUACUAACAGGUCAUGCUGAGGACUCUAGAGAGACUGCCGUCGUAAGAUGUGAGGAAGGUGGGGAUGACGUCAAAUCAGCACGGCCCUUACGUCCGGGGCUACACACGUGUUACAAUGGGGGGUACAGAAGGCAGCUACCUGGUGACAGGAUGCUAAUCCCAAAAGCCUCUCUCAGUUCGGAUCGAAGUCUGCAACCCGACUUCGUGAAGCUGGAUUCGCUAGUAAUCGCGCAUCAGCCAUGGCGCGGUGAAUACGUUCCCGGGCCUUGUACACACCGCCCGUCAAGCCAUGAAAGCCGGGGGUACCUGAAGUACGUAACCGCAAGGAGCGUCCUAGGGUAAAACUGGUAAUUGGGGCUAAG
rnacentral:rRNA from 1 species